GAUGAACGCUGGCGGCGUGCCUAAUACAUGCAAGUCGAGCGAACAGACGCGGAGCUUGCCUCUCUGACGUUAGCGGCGGACGUGAGAGUAACACGUGGAUAACCUAGCUAUAAGACUGUGAUAACUUCGGGAAACCGUACCUAAUACCGGCUAAUAUAUUGAACCGCAUGGUUUAAUAGUUCAAGACGGUUUUGCUGUCACUUAUAGAUUGAUCCGCGCCGCAUUAGCUAGUUGGUAAGGUAACGGCUUACCAAGGCAACGAUGCGUAGCCGACCUGAGAGGACGAUCAGCCACACUGGGACUGAGACACGGUCCAGACUCCUACGGGAGGCAGCAGUAGGGAAUCUUGGACAAUGGGCGCAAGCCUGAUCCAGCAAUGCCGCGUGAAUGAAGAAGGUCUUCGGGUUGUAAAAUGCUGUUGUUAGGAAAGAAACGGUGUGGGUGAAUACACGGGGGUAAUGACGGUACCGAAAGAAUAAGCCCCGGCUAACUACGUG
rnacentral:rRNA from 1 species